rnacentral:rRNA from 1 species
UAGGGAAUCUUCCGCAAUGGACGCAAGUCUGACGGAGCAACGCCGCGUGAGUGAAGAAGGAUUUCGGUUCGUAAAACUCUGUUGUUAGAGAAGAACAGCGCAUAGAGUAACUGUUAUGCGUGUGACGGUAUCUAACCAGAAAGCCACGGCUAACUACGUGCCAGCAGCCGCGGUAAUACGUAGGUGGCAAGCGUUGUCCGGAUUUAUUGGGCGUAAAGCGAGCGCAGGCGGUCAAUUAAGUCUGAUGUGAAAGCCCCCGGCUCAACCGGUGAGGGUCAUUGGAAUCUGGUUGACUUGAGUGCAGAAGCGGGGAGUGGAAUUCCAUGUGUGGCGGUGAAAUGCGUAGAUAUAUGGAGGAACACCAGUGGCGAAGGCGACUCUCUGGUCUGUAACUAACGCUGAGGCUCGAAAGCGUGGGUAGCAAACAGG